UGCCCCACCUUCCUCAAGAGCAUGCAAGAUAGACACAGCUGAAAAAGGAACCUUCCUCUCUGUUACUCAGAAGUGCCUGUAUGAGAGUUGCCUCUACAGAAGAGUAUGGAGGAGUCAGCCACUUCUGGGCAGCUAUCCUGCGGGGAAUCUACAGCUGUCAGCUGCUGUCUAUUACACAGGCUCAUCAUUUGUGCAGACUAAUAAGGGCGAUCACAUCAAACUGACCUGCUUGAAGGACUGAAAGAAAGAGACACUGUGUCACUUGGUGGUGAUAUGAGGGCAGACAGUCCAGGCCAUUGUUCGAAGUAUGGCUCAUACUCUAUGGUGGAUCUUUGCUCAAACAAAAUAGUUGAUAUCCAGCUUGUACAGAGCAAUGAAGUUGGAGGCAGUGUACGGAUGGAGAAAGAGGGGCUGAUCCGGAGUCUUGGAUUCCUUGAAAGUGCUGGUGUCAAAGUCACCUCAUUGGUGACAGACCGACACACACAAGUUCAAAAAUGUAUCCGGGAGCAUAAACCAGAAAUUCAGCACUUCUAUGAUGUUUGGCAUUUAUGUAAAGCACUUUUCAGAAAAUGGAUGCACUUGCCAAAGAAAAGGACUGCAAGAAGAUCCAACAGUGGCAAAAGAGUGUGUCAAAUCACCUCUACUGGUCAGCAUCCAGUUCAUCCAGUGGAGAGGAAACGGUGGCAAAAUGGACAUCCCUUCUAAACCACAUCCAGGAUGUCCAUGUCCAUGAAAAUCCACUGUUCCCCAAGUGUCUCCACCCACCUUCCACUGAUAAAAACAAGUGGCUGAAUCUGGCGACAAAGGCCACCUACAAGAUCGAGAAAAUCCUGUUCAACAAGCGCAUCCUUGGUGAUGUUAAAAAGCUGAGUCCUCUGUAUCAGACGUCAACUUUGGAGGGAUUCCACAGUCUCAUUCUGCAGUUUGCACCAAAAAAUGUGUCAUUCUCCUAUUUAGGGAUGCUCUGCAGGCUUUACCUUUACUUGCAUUUCAAUGAAAAUUCUGGGCGUUCCCAAGCAAGGACUGCAGCAGGAGAACUCCGGUUCCAAAUCAAAUUUCCCAAGGCCAAGAGAGGGGGACAUGUUGUGUCCAUGGUGAAAACCAAAUACACUACUGAAUAUGUCUCAGAGCUUAUGGACCUCCUCUUUAACAAGGACCUUUGCAGCUGAGCUGAGAGCAGUGGCUGUUCCUGGAUUCCUGUGCUCACUGUAUGAGCGGCCUGAGAAGGCAGAUGCAAUUGCCAGACAUGUGUCCAGGUUCAACUGUCCAGGUGGGGUGGGAGCAGCUCCAGCACCAGGUGGCCCAACAUCAGACUGUGCAGCAGAUGUGACAGUUACUGAUAGAGAAGAGGGUCGGAUCAUUACCCAUUAGGGUACACUUCCUGAAUGCGGCGCACAACACAGGAGGGUAUGACCACACGGUUAUGCUUGCCCAGGUAUCCCCAACACCAGGAAACAAAACUUCGAUAGGCCAGAACAGGAUCCCAGAAGAUGGCAUUCUGAUUCAUCAAUCUGCAGCCUGUGUCAAAUCAUGUAGCCUGUAUGGAGGUGUGAUGAAAUGGAUAGUUUUUUACUUUACUAAAAUUUCAUGUAAUUGUCCAAAUGACUUAUCAUCCUGGUGACAUUGAUAAAAAAGCACUGUACAAACAAUGGGUAGAAGAGGGGACCAUCAUAACAGGAGGUCUCAAUUACUGACCUAUAAUUACAGGUUAUUGUUUGUGUUCAGAUAAAUUUCCUUAUUGAUCUUUUUCACCA